rnacentral:rRNA from 1 species
UAUUCUUAAAUAUAUUUGUUCCUAGGUUAGUAAUAGAUAUUUACUUAAAAGCUAAAAAAUUUGGCGGUAAUUUAAUCUUUUCAGAGGAACUUGUUUUUUAAUCGAUAAUCCUCGCAAUAUCUUACUUAUUUUAGUAAAGUUUGUAUACCAUCAUUAUAAGGUAAUUUUAAAAAAAAGAAUUUCUAAAUUUAAAAGUGAAUAUAAAAAUUAGAUCAUGGUGCAGCUAAUAAAUAAGUCAAAAUGAGUUACAAUAAAAUAUUUUAUACGGAUAGUAAAGGAAGAAUUACUAUGAAGGAGGAUUUGGUAGUAUUAGGAAUUUAAUAUGUUCUUAAGAUGAUAGCUCUAAAUUAUGUACAUAU